rnacentral:misc_RNA from 1 species
GAAAUGCGAUAAGUAAUGUGAAUUGCAGAAUUCAGUGAAUCAUCGAAUCUUUGAACGCACAUUGCGCCCGCUAGUACUCUAGCGGGCAUGCCUGUUCGAGCGUCAUUUCAACCCUCAAGCCCAGCUUGGUGUUGGGGUCCUACGGCUGCCGUAGGCCCUGAAAGGAAGUGGCGGGCUCGCUACAACUCCGAGCGUAGUAGGACUCUAUCUCGCUAGGGAGGUGCGGCGUGCUCCUGCCGUUAAAGACAUCUUUAACCAAAGGUUGACCUCGGAUCAGGUAGGAAUACCCGCUGAACUUAA